ACACCGCCUAUCUGAGGUAAACUACAAGUAAAAAUAGUAACAGAUCCACUUCCAAAUCCAACAUCAUAACCUAAAUAAAUAAAAUUUUAAAUUACAAUAAUUUGUUUCUAAAAAAGUAUGGAGUCUUUCGUCGAGUACGAGCAUGUGCACAUAGAAGAGGUAUGCAGGUUGUGCUUAAACAAACACGAUCAAAUGAGUUUAAUUUGCGACUCAGGAGUAGCAGAUCUGCUCUUAGAGUGUGCCUCGAUCCAAGUAACGCCGGAUAACGGUUUAUAUAAUCUAGUAUGUCAUCAGUGUGCGAAUGAUGUCAGUCGUUGGUACGUAUUUAAACAACAAGUCGUAAGAUCAUUUGAAAUUGGCCGAUGGUUAUUACAAAAGAAAGUAAAAAAUGAUGUGAAUUUUGUGUUCGACACUUCCAGUGUACCACACGAUACACAUUCCGAACAUUCCAACUCCGUUAUUGAAGAUGAGGAUGAAUUAAAAGACCUUUUGAACCAGCGUGAUGCUGGAUUUGCUCCAUCAAGUUCAACAAAACUGACAUCAGAUCUAAGCAGCGUUAUAGAAGUGAUAGAAAGUGUUGCGUUAGAUAACUGCAACAUCACUUCAACUUCUUCCGUUACAACAGGACCAAAACGUAAAAAAUCAUUAGAGGAACUAUUAUGUGUUACAUGCGGAAAACAAUGCACUUCCACAAACUCCUACAACAGACAUUUAAAAACGCACGAUGAUUCGCGCCCGUUUAUCUGUAGCAAAUGUGAUAAACCAUUUAAAACGUCACAGGUUUUGGCAGAGCAUAUGAAACGGCACUACGAUGACAGAAGGCACAAAUGUGAAAUCUGUGCACAAAAGUUUUACGCCAAGGCCAGUUUGAAUGAUCACUUACGAAGUCACACUGGUGAAAGGCCAUUUAAAUGUGACGUGUGUAACCGUACUUUUGCCACUAAAGCAAUUUUGCGCCAACAUUCCAUCAUCCACACAGUAAGAGAUAGAAAGUUUCAAUGUGAUAUUUGCGAUAAAUUUCUUUUAACUGCUGGCAGUUUAGAGACGCAUAAACGAAAGCAUAGCGGAGUAAAGCCUUUUCAGUGUUCCGGUUGUAAUAAAUCAUUUUUUACAAAGGAGGCCAUGCAGAGACAUUUCGGUGCAAUACACGACACCGACAAUAACUUCUUGUGCAGUGUUUGCUCUAAAGUUUGCAGUACUAAGGUGCACUUAAAUAAUCACAUGAAAAAGAAGCAUUUAGGACUUGGUCUUCCACCGAACGCCGUUUGUACUGAGUGCGGUAAGCAGUGCGGCUCGGCGGCAGAACUUAAAGUGCACGUUCGCGUACAUACCGGUGAACGUCCGUAUGUGUGUGAUAUUUGUCAGAAACGGUUUAUAGCUAAAGGUAAUUUGAAUUCACAUAAGCAAAGACAUUUAGGUAGAAAACCAUUUCUGUGUAAUCAUUGUGGGAAAGCGUUUGGUGAAAGGUCAACACUAAAAGUGCAUGAACGAAUACAUACUGGUGAACAUCCGUAUUCAUGCAAUGUAUGUGGGAAAGCGUAUAUUCAAAGUAGUGCGCUUAGAACACAUAUGAAGAGCCAUUGGAAGUAAAAUUAUUUAACUUUUUUUGUGUAAAAUUAAGUGCUGUAAGUUCAAUGUUAAUGGUCCCCUACACUAAUUUUGAUGUACCUAAGUCGACAACUCCCGAGCUAUCAAAAACGAGAAAAUCACAAACUUGGCACACCACUGUAGUAAUACAAUCCUCACACUUAGGUUGUACUGAUUGGUACCGAAUGCUUAUUAUCAAAAAAAUGGAAUGCCAAUAACACUUAUUGAAUUUGAAAAGCAAAAGAAAGUUUAUUGAAUAAUAUUAAUCAAAAGUGUAAAAUGAAUCAAAGUGUUCAGCAUUUUGAGUUCCUACAAAUUUAGACACAAUGCAUUUAAAGCCAAAUGUAUGACAUGUGCUCCUCCAUUGGACAAAAGAACCAAGCCGAAGAAAAUUUCGAAUCACUGUUCACAAAAGGUAAGUAUAGAGGGAAAUCGGGAGCAAGAGAGAUAACUGUGGAAAACGCUAAACACACAUUUUACAUCACAUCUAUGAUAUACAAAACUUAACAAUGCGAAGAAGUAACUCUUGAAUUUGAAUAAUUUCAACCUGACCGUUGAGUAAAAAAAUUCAACGACCUGACGUUAAUCUAUUACAUUUGAUAAGCUAAAGAAGGGCCAUCCCAAAACAGAUUAAAAAAACUCCAAUGUGUGAAAAAUAACAUUCUGAAGUCUCUUACUUUAAGUAUGUGAAGUACCUACAUUGUUAAUUAUCCGGAGCUUCUCCAGUUCAGAAGGUAUCU